rnacentral:rRNA from 1 species
AUGGAGACGGCGGGCCGAGGACCAGGAGGGCGGUAGUCGACGGGGGCGGAGGUCUGGUGGGCCUGGUCGUGGGCGUGCUGCGUCGUGGCGGCGUGCGUGGCGGCGGUGGGGCUGGCGGGCGCCGGCGUGCUGGUGUGGUGGGCCGUGGCGUUCCACCCGGCGCGGGAGCAGCUCUGGGUGGUGCCCGCCGGGCUCGUCCUCCUCGGCACGCCACUUGUCGCUUGGCUCUCCCUCUUUGCCUCCGCCUCGGGACCAGCCUCCUCUGCACGUCGAGCUGCACGGGGAGUGUUGGGUUUCGUAGUAAUUUCAAAAAUUUUCCUACGCGCACACAGGAUCAUGUGA